UAUAAUUAGGUGCUAAAAGGGGUGGAAAAGACCCAAACACCCUUAUAAAAAUGGCUUUAAAUUGCUGAACGGGAACUGCGACGGCCGGUCGAGGGACGGACUGGGAACGGUUCCUUCAGGGGCCUUCCCUGCGCGUCGAAUAGCCAACUCAGAACUGGAAUAGAUAAGGGAAAUCCGACUGUUUAAUUAAAACAAAGCAUUGCGAUGGUCCCAACGGAUGUUCACCUAAUGGGAUUUCUUCCCAGUUCCCUGAAUGUCAAAGUGAAGAAAUUCAACCAAGUGUCGGUAAAUGGCGGGAGUAACUUUGACUCUCUUAAGGUAUCCAAAUGCCUCGUCAUCUAAUUAUUGAUGUGCAUGAAUAGAUUAACUAGAUUCCUACUAUCCCUAUCUACUAUGUAGCAAAACCACAACCAAGGGAACGGGCUUGGCAGAAUUAGCGGGGAAAGAAGACCCUGUUGAACUUGACUCUAGUCUGACUUUGCGAAAUAACUUGAGAGGUGUAGGAUAAGUGGGAAACAAAAGGCGAAAGUGAAAUACCAUUACUUUUAACAUUAUUUUACAAAUUCCAUGAAUCGAAAGCAGGGCACUGCCUCUCUUUUUUGACCCAAGGCUCGCUUUGUGGGCUAAUUCAGGCAGAACACAUUGUCAGGUAGGGAAUUUGGCUGGGGAAACACAUCUGUUAAAAGAUAACACAGGUUUCCUAAGAUGAUCUCAACGAGAACAGAAAUCUCAUAUGGAACAGAAGUGUAAAGGCUCGUUGAUUCUGAUUUCCAAUACGAAUACAAACCGUGAAAGCGUAGCCUAACGAUCCUUUAAACCUUUUAAAUUGGAAGCUGAAGGUGUGAAAAAAGUUACCACAGGGAUAACUAGCUUGUGAAAGCCAAGUAUUCAUAGCGACAUUGUUUUUUGAUCUUUCGAACUUGGCUCUUCCUACCAUUGUGAAGAAGAAUUCACCAAGUGUUGGAUUAUUCACCCACCAAUAGGGAAUGUAAGCUGGUUUUAGACCAUUAUGAGACAGCCUAGUUUUACCCUACUGAUGAAAGUAUCGCAAUAGUUGUUCAACCUAGUACGAGAGGAACCUUUGAUUCACACAAUUGGUCAUCGCGCUUAGUUGAAAAACUAGUGGCAUGAAGCUACCGUGUGCUGGAUUAUGACUGAAUGCCUCUAAGUUAGAAUUCGGGCCAAAAGCUAUACAUGCGCCCGUCGUCCGCUUGCCGUCCCACCGUAGGAGCCCUGACCCCCAAGGGCAUGUGUCGUUGGGUAAGCCAUCGCGGUAGCCACCUUGAAGUAUAAUUUCCCUCGAGCGCCAGGUAAUAUCCUUUGCAAAUGACUUAAAUAUGCGAUGGGGUAUUCUAAGUGGUAGAGUGGACUUACUGCCACGAUCCAAGAGAUUCAACCCUUUCUUACUAUAAUUC
rnacentral:ncRNA from 1 species